UAUAAGGUGGCUGAAUUGUAGGCAUUGGAUUGUAAACCCAGUUACGGGAAAUUUCCCCCUUAUAA
rnacentral:tRNA from 1 species